UGAGCAAUCUGCCCUUCUCAUCGGAAUAAGCGUUGGAAACGACGUCUAAUGCCGAAUACGACCUCCUUUCGCAUGAUCGGAGGUGGAAAGCUCCGGCGGAGAAGGAUGAGCUCGCGGCCUAUCAGCUAGUUGGUGUGGGUAACGGCCCACCAAGGCGACGAUCAGUAGCCGGCCUGAGAGGGUGAACGGCCACAUUGGGACUGAGACACGGCCCAAACUCCUACGGGAGCA
rnacentral:rRNA from 1 species